rnacentral:rRNA from 1 species
GGCGAACGCUGGCGGCGUGCUUAACACAUGCAAGUCGGACGGAAAGGCCCUUCGGGGUACUCGAGUGGCGAACGGGUGAGUAACACGUGGGUGAUCUGCACUGCACUUUGGGAUAAGCCUGGGAAACUGGGUCUAAUACCGAAUAGGACCGCGCGCUUCAUGGUGUGUGGUGGAAAGCUUUUGCGGUGUGGGAUGGGCCCGCGGCCUAUCAGCUUGUUGGUGGGGUAAUGGCCUACCAAGGCGACGACGGGUAGCCGGCCUGAGAGGGUGACCGGCCACACUGGGACUGAGAUACGGCCCAGACUCCUACGGGAGGCAGCAGUGGGGAAUAUUGCACAAUGGGCGGAAGCCUGAUGCAGCAACGCCGCGUGAGGGAUGACGGCCUUCGGGUUGUAAACCUCUUUCACCAGGGACGAAGCGCAAGUGACGGUACCUGGAGAAGAAGCACCGGCCAACUACGUG